UACAGAGGUCUCAAGCGUUUGUUCGGAUUCAUUGGGCGUAAAGGGUGCGUAGGCGGCGCGGUAAGUCGGGUGUGAAAUUUCGGAGCUUAACUCCGAAACUGCAUUCGAUACUGCGGUGCUUGAGGACUGGAGAGGCGAGUGGAAUUCCUGGUGUAGCGGUGAAAUGCGCAGAUAUCAGGAGGAACACCAAUGGCGAAGGCAGCUCGCUGGGACGUGACUGACGCUGAGACGCGAAAGCGUGGGGAGCAAACAGG
rnacentral:rRNA from 1 species